rnacentral:rRNA from 1 species
AUUGAACGCUGGCGGCAUGCCUUACACAUGCAAGUCGAACGGUAACGGGCCUUCGGGUGCCGACGAGUGGCGAACGGGUGAGUAAUACAUCGGAACGUGCCAGAUCGUGGGGGAUAACGAGGCGAAAGCUUUGCUAAUACCGCAUACGAUCUACGGAUGAAAGCAGGGGACCGCAAGGCCUUGCGCGGACGGAGCGGCCGAUGGCAGAUUAGGUAGUUGGUGGGAUAAAAGCUUACCAAGCCGACGAUCUGUAGCUGGUCUGAGAGGAUGAUCAGCCACACUGGGACUGAGACACGGCCCAGACUCCUACGGGAGGCAGCAGUGGGGAAUUUUGGUCAAUGGGCGCAAGCCUGAUCCAGCCAUGCCGCGUGCAGGGUGAAGGCCUUCGGGUUGUAAACUGCUUUUGUACGGAACGAAAAGCCUUCUUUUAAUACAGGAGGGUCAUGACGGUACCGUAAGAAUAAGCACCGGCUAACUACGUG